rnacentral:rRNA from 1 species
UGGGGAAUCUUGCACAAUGGGGGCAACCCUGAUGCAGCGACGCCGCGUGAGCGAUGAAGCCCUUCGGGGCGUAAAGCUCUUUCGACCGGAACGAUAAUGACGGUACCGGGAGAAGAAGCUGCGGCUAACUACGUGCCAGCAGCCGCGGUAAUACGUAGGCAGCAAGCGUUGUUCGGAGUUACUGGGCGUAAAGAGUGCGUAGGCGGUUUUCUAAGUUCGGUGUGAAAUCUCCCGGCUUAACUGGGAGGGUGCGCCGAAGACUGGGAAGCUGGAGUGUGGGAAAGGCAGGCGGAAUUCCUGGUGUAGCGGUGAAUGCGUAGAUAUCAGGAGGAACACCGGCGGUGUAGACGGCUUGCUAGACCAUAACUGACGCUGAGGCACGAAAGCGUGGGUAGCAAACA